GAAUUCUUAGUAGUAAUGAUCAGAGGUGUCCUAGAAGCACAGAGGUCUUCACACAGGGACAAUUUUGGGUUCCUCAGGGGAGAAUUUUCACCCUUUAGAGGGAGCUGGGUCCUACCUGCAGUUCUCUUCCAUCCCAGACCAAGCUCCAGAAACAGUGGGCUGCUUGAUGUGCUGGAAUCUGUGCAGUCACUGAGUCCAGGGUGUGGACAGGUGCCUCCAUUUCUUUGAAGAAUCCUGGUAGAUGAAGUCGUAUGACCUGCUGGUGGUUGUGGGAGAAUCAAUCUCAUGAAUUAUUGGAUGUGUUAUGAUCUGUGAAGAACACCUUAAACUAAGAAUACUGGUGCUUCCAUAGCAAGCAUUUUAUCUCCCACCUGAGUGACCCAAGUUUGAGUGCAGGCCAAAACGUACAACUGUUUUUCUUCUUUCUGCACCAUAGUGGCUUCAUUACUACCUCUAUUAAGUCUUUAUUGCAAAGGCAAGUCUCAUCAAAGAUCCAACAGGCAGGGGCAACACAGCCUAGGUAAGGGAGGGAAAGAAUAAAAUGGACAGUGUUUGGGGAACAAAAAUUAUUGAAGACCAUUUCUAAACAGUAACGUGACAGCCUUGGGACUGGGAUAGGGCUAUGAUCAUGGAAAGAUUAGUGCCUGGCAUGAGUUACACAACUGUUCCUCUGGGGUGCAUUUUCCAAGGCAGGAAGUAAGUUUCGGUGUGUUGCUGGGACAUGUAAUAUUUGGAGCUAAAAUCCUUGCUACACUCAUGUGUAUAACCUCUGACACCAUGACAUCACCUACUAACAAAUGAGUGUCCUAGAAUAUGAGGAAUAACUUUACUGUGUUUCUAUCUUUGGAAGUUAGCUUUGGAAAAAGAUCAGAAGAUUUCCUUCCCUUGUCAUGCCUAUAUUAUUCUGAUUUUCUCUUGUCAUGAUGCAUGUAAAUGUACCCCAAGAGAUUUGAGGAACAUAGAGGAAGUCUCACCCUCUCCUUUAGGUUGCCAUUCCAUAAACUUUUCUUGAAACUUCUGUAUGUUACACUGAACCAGAAAGAUGAGGAAUUUGGCCAAUAAAGACACUUCUCUCAACAGGUCACUGUACAGGUCACCACAAUAUCACAAAUGGUCAAAAUCAUACAUUAAGUUAACUUUUGGAACCUAGUAUCUGAGAAGUCAAUUGUUCAUUUUGAAUUAUAAUUAUUUACCUCUUCUAACAGCCUAUCAGACAAUUACAGUCAACAGAGGAAUAUUCAGAACUUCUGACUUAGGUGGGCAUAUGGCAGAUAAAGAACAAAAGCUGUUUAGAAUGAGAGAGAAACUGAAGGGUAGCUCUAGAAAGUGCUAAAGGCAGUCAAAAGCCAAUCAGCUUUAACUGCCAACCAUUCAGUUAACAGCAUAACUCCCUAACUGACUGACCACAUGGCCACUCCUCACAGAUGAGACUACAUCAAGUGGUAAUGUGGACAGUUCACCUGCUGAAACCGAGAACAUGUCCACCUUAUCUCUACUCUGUCCAAAUCUGCCAGCUCCAGAAGGCUGAGAGUGCAAGAGAGUGUAAGACCUCUGCUUCUUUGGUAGAUGCAUAGGAAACACAGGAAUUUAGGGGUUAGCCAAACAAUAGGAUGGGGAAAUUGUCCUCACCACUUUUGGUGUUCUGAAGACACAAAAUUAAGAGGGAGGAAGGGAUAAUGUUUGAAGUUCGGUGGGGUGGUGGAAGACUAUUCUGGUCCAAAUACCUCCUGCUAUUGACCCAGUGAUAAGUGAAGCAGUUGGCCUCAGAGAAGCCACAUAAAUGAGCAUUUGAUUUACUAUGGGAGGCAGAGACGAAAGAGCAGCAGGAAGCUGGACAAGAGCAGUCAAGGAGUUUGGCACUGGCACUGCCAUCCAUCCAUCUGCAUGCCAGAGACAGUGUCAUCCUGGGUUUUUCCCUACAGUCUCCCCUGACCCUGGACAGCUAAUAACCUAAGAUUUGCCUAGGGAAGAAAUUCUGAGGGCCUGCUGUGGCAUGGGAAUCAUCCUAAAUUAUAACAUGAGUGUAAUUACAUACACACAUUUUAAAGAUAAGGUAUCUUUAAAGAUUUAUUAGUUUAUUAUGCCUUUAUAGUUGGAGGGUGAAGAAGAAAAUAUCAAAGUUCUUUAUCUAACAAAAUGACUCAUGGAAAUUAAUUUAUAUAUCAUUACCCAUAAUAACCAGUUAGCAUAAAAGGCAAUUAGAAAUGGAUGGUUGUAUUCCACAAGAGACAUAUUCUGAAGUCAUGUUUUUUGCCUUAAAGUCUAUUAAUGUAGCUGCUUUUUGGUUAAUAUUUUCGAUAAAGCUUGUUUUUUCUCCUUUUGUUUUCAACCUUUCUGUCACUUUAUAGUUUCGGUAUAUCUCUCGAAUACAGCAUAUAGUUAAUUUUAAAAUCCAGCCUAGCAAUAUUUAUUUUUUACUGUACAACUUGAUCUCCUUAUAUUUAUGUAAUUGUUAAUAUAAUUAAUUUAAAAUCUAUCAGCUUUAUCUUUUUCUAUUUGUCCUCUUUGUUCUGUGUUUCUAUUUCUCUCUUGGGUUUUUUUUAAUUGGUUAUCUUUUAAACUAUUACAAUAUUAUGUUUUUUUAUUGUUUUAUAUAUACUUUGCUUCAAUUUUUUCCUUCUAAAUUUUUAAUUGUAUUUCACUUCGUUUCUAUCCUUUUUGUGAUUAGUUUAAAAAUUACAAUCUUAAUCCUUAGUUUAUCAAGCAUAGUAAUAAUUAUGACCCUUACUGUCAUACUGAACAGUAUAAAGACCUUGGGAUACUUUUAUUCCAUUUAGUCUCACUCUACAUAUAUGCUGUUAUCAUUUGUUAUAGUUCUAAGCAUUUUUAAACCCCAUAAGACUUUUUAUGUAUUUUUAUAUGGCCAAUGUUAAUUUAGAUUUAUCUAUGUAUUUACUGUUAUCUUUCUCUAUUUUUGUGUCUGUCUUUCCAUGUGGAAUCGUUUUCCUUCUGCUUGAGAAACAUCGUUUAGAGAUUUCUUCUGUGUGGGUCCCUGGUGAAGAACUGUUUCAGCUUUUUUUCUCUGAAACAGUCUUUAUUUUUCUUUAAUUAUUGAAGACUAUUUUUAUUAAGUAUAGGAGUCAAGAAGCAGUUACUAUCAGAACAUUGAAGAUAUUUGCAUUUCAAAAGUCAGUCAGUAGUCUAAUUGCUGCUGAUUUUAAUGUAACCUCUCUUUUUUCUCUGGGUGUUUGUAUAACUUUUGUCUUGUUUUUGAUUUUCUGCAAUUUUAGUGUGAUCUCUCUAGUAUUGAUGUCCCUUUAUUUACCUUGUAUGGAAUUGGUUGGCUUUCAAGAAUCUGUUGGUUUGUGUGUUUCAUGUUGUCUCAAACAUUACUUCUUCUAAUAUUUACCCUGUUUUCUCUCUCUUCUACUUCUGAGACUAACUAAAAAAUAAGGUAGACCUUCUCACUCUAUUUGCUAUUUUUUCACUUAUGUUUAAUAUUACUGUUUUCCUUCUUGUUCUACAUUUUUAAUUUUUUCUUCUUCCCGAUCUACCACUUUACUAAUUCUCUUUUCAGCUAUGAUUGAUCUCCUGUUAAAUUCUUCCACUAAGUUUUAAAUUUUAGUUAUUUUAAUUUUGUUUCAGAAUUUCUUUUUUUUCUACCAGGUGAAGAAAACGUUUCCAGGAAGAGGGAAGGAUCAACUGUUGUUGAUAGAUUAGAUAAAUGUUGAUAGAUACAUAAAGGAAGGUAAGAAUUGACCACUGGAUUUAGCAAAAUUAGUCAUUGGUGACCUUGACAAGAGCAGUUGCAGGGGAGUGAUGGGGAUAAAAGCAUGAUUUUAGUAAGUUCUAGAUCAGAGACUGAAUAUGCAAAUGGACAAUGGCCAGAUAACAAAUAAAAGUAGAACUCUGACCCACAAUUUGUAGUAACCAGCCUAGAAAACCAACCCAUUAUCUACACUAACCAGCCCAGGAAGUCAACCUACUAUCUAUAAGUCAGAGUUGUAGAAGGUCAACCAUUUUCUCAGCAAACAAUCCAGGAAGCCAAACAAAAACCCUUGUAAUCAUCAGUCCCAAAUGGCCAGGACUUGGUUAAUAACUUUAAUUUUUGUCCCUGCUUCUAACUUAGGACCAACCAGAGAAGGCCAAAAAUGCACCUUUAACCAGUCAUAUAGGACAUCCUGCUUCUACAGCUGGAUGCUGGAAGCUGUUAGCCUGCCUACAGCUUCCCCAUGCCAGCAGCCUCCAAUCACAGCAUACCUGAAGCCUUCCCUUUUUUCCAUAAAGCUUUCCCAGUCUUCUGCUUGCCUUUGAGUCUCUACUAAACCUAAAGGAUGGUGGCUGACACCUUUGCUAUAGCAAGUUCUGAAUAAAUAGCUUUAGCUUAUUCUCAUUUGGAUAGGUUUAUCAUUUUAGAAUUUCUGUUUGACUCUUCUCUAAGUCCGUUUUGUCACUUUUUAUAAUUUCCAUUUUGUAGUUAAAAUGUUAAACCAAUAAAAAACCAAAAUGUUUCCCCUUCUGCAUGAC
rnacentral:lncRNA from 1 species